AGUGAACGUUGGCGGCGUGGAUUAGGCAUGCAAGUCGAGCGAGAACCGUAGCAAUACGGGGACAGCGGCGAAAGGGACAGUAAUGUGUAGGUACCUACCCCGAGGCCUGGGAUAGCUGCGGGAAACUGCAGGUAAUACCGGAUAAUGUCUUCGGACCAAAGGUGUGAUUUCACCUUGGGAGGGGCCUGCAUCCUAUUAGCUAGUUGGCGGGGUAUUGGCCCACCAAGGCGACGAUGGGUAGCGGGUGUGAGGGCACGACCCGCGUCAUUGGGACUGAGACACUGCCCAGACACCUACGGGUGGCUGCAGUCGAGGAUCUUCGGCAAUGGGCGAAAGCCUGACCGAGCGACGCCGCGUGCGGGAUGAAGGCCUUCGGGUCGUAAACCGCUGUCGUAGAGGAGGAAAUGCAGGUGGGUUCUCCCAUCUGUUUGACCUAUUCUAGGAGGAAGUACGGGCUAAGUUCGUGCCAGCCGCCGCCGUAA
rnacentral:rRNA from 1 species